ACGUAUCGACGAGGACACGAAAGGUUCAGUAGACUUUUUGCUUUAAAUGAAUGGUUGUUGUCAUGGUGUAAAGAACAGAAACUGCUAUUUGUUAAUAACUGGAAUCUUUUCUGGGAGCGUCCUAGGCUGUUUCGCGCUGAUGGAUUACACCCCAGCAGAAUCGGAGCGGAGCUGCUCUCUGACAACAUCUCCAGGACACUUCGCUCCAUGUGACUAGAUUUACACAAGCUCCAGUCUGGAUCCAGAACACCCGAGAAGAGAUGAUGCUGACCCUCAGAGGACCCCAGAUGAUGCUAACCUUGAAUCAACAAACAGAACUAACAAUUAUUGCUACAUGUGUGACUGCAUCAUAUACUUACUAUUAAUUAAUAAUAUUGAUAGUUCAUCAUCUAGCUGACUACGUCUUGUAUUAUUAUUAUUAAUUUUAUUUUUCUAAAAUCCUGUCAAAUGUGCACAAACUACUAGCUACUACUAAAUAUUGUAGAAACAUAAUUUUCUGUAAAGUUGCUUUGUAACGAUUUGUAUUGUAAAAAGCGCUAUACAAAUAAACUUGAAUUGAAUUGAAUUGAAUAAA